AUAAUAAAACGAAUAGAUAUGCACUGAGGGAUUCAGGUCAUCUCACCAGUAUCUCAAAAAAAAAAAAAAAAAAACUCGUGUAAUAUCUAACAAAGAUAAAACUUGUACUUACUAGCCUUGUCACUGGGAGUGUUUGUCUGGCGUGUCCCCUGCCUCUCUUAAUACAAAAGAAAACAUCUCAUUAUCAGAUUACUUCCAAAUUACAUUACCUGUGGUUGAAAUCUUUCUCCCACCUUUGUCCUUUAUUUUAACAUGUAGUUAACCCCUACUAUACAUUGUUUAGCUUAUCCAUAGAAUGUGUACACAUAAAUUUUGACCAACAAAUCCCUUUAAUAAAAUACUCAAACUAACCCUGAAAUAAAUUAUGAUGAAUAGAAACUAGGUCUAACUCAUAUCUUGUGAUAUAUAUCCUCCCACCUGAGUUCUUGGUACCUCUCUGGAAAACAAAUCUUGUAAAACAAAAUAACCCAUUGCUCUAGGCCAUUUUACCGUCAAAACAAAAAAAAAUUUAUAUUCGAUCUUCCCCAAAAAAAAAAAAAUAAUAAUAAUAAUUCCUCUUCAAAUCUGGACCGCUAUAUUGGCUUGUUCUGGCAAUCUGCUUCAAAAGUUCAUUUUGGUGCCCUACUAAUAAAAAAAAACUUAUCUUAUAAUGAGUUGCUCUCGUAAAAAAAAAAAUUCUACAUAUUAAUUGAUGUUUAGACUUAAAUUCUUCUAACUAAACGUAUGGCAGACUAUAGUCUUUAAUUAAGUGAAUAACUCUUGCUAGCCUGGGGCGAUAUAAAACGCAAAGAAUCCGGACAGUCCAUCUGUCACUUUGCUAUCUGGUACCUAAAAAUCUGUAGACGGAAUCGCCUCGUUUAACCGUAAUUUGUCUCUUUCACGCUCCCUCAUUGUUAACUCUCAUUAGAAACCUCCUUUAGACUAUGACUUAAAAUCAAGGAGUUAUAGGGAUUGCUUACCCAGCACAUGUUUCGAAGUUUCUGUCUAUAGGAGAUUGGUUCCAAGCUGCGCAAUUAUAGAGGAGCUCCAACGCGCCGAACCUUCUCAACCUCCCGUCUGAACCACCCUCAUCUCAGUCACGCUCAAAGCGUCGUAAAUUACGAUGUCAGAUCGGUUACCCGAGGUUUUCGUCGCUUUACACUUAGUCUGCGACGUCGGCAACUGAAUCCCCCAACCUAGCACAAAGUUCACCUGAUACCUCUCCGUUCCCUCUAAUGAGGAGAAGUUUGGUGGGUUUUUCUGGUCUGAUCAUAACCUCCCACAACCUUCCAGUCUGAGAAUCGAGAUAUGAUCAUUAUCUACGACUCUUAAAAUUCAAGAUGAUAUAAAUAACAAAGAGAACUUGAUUACCCUAGUAAUAGAAAUUAAAUUUUUAUACUCCCGUAAGGGGAGACCUAACAAAAUGGAGCGAAUACCUUUCCUAACAAUAGAGUUGUACAGCCCUGUGAGGCUAUCGUUCCUAACAAAUAAAGAAAUCAAAAUUGAAAAUUGAACCUAUUAAAUUCCCUAACACUACUCUAAAGUAAUUUUGGUCUAACAGUAUACUAGUUUUUAACCUUCUCAUCAUUUAUUCCACUUCACAUUCAUACACAAAAAAAAAAAUUCAGUCACUGUGGGCAUUCGUUCUAAAGUUAAAAACUGCUAUAGACGCCAAAACACUCAAUAAUCUCUAUCAAAUAAACCCUAACAAUUUCUAAAUUCCAGGACUAAUGUGAAAUCAAAUAAAGUUUUCUAAUUAAAACAAAGUGGGAACUAAUGCCCUAUUAACUUAAAUUAAUGCCUCAUACAAACUCUAUAUAAAUUAUAUACUCAUAGAUAAACAUUAUUUAUGAUUGAACAGAUAAAUAAAUCAAACUAUGUUGAUUGUCAACAAUCAAAUCUGAAAUCUAACCUAACACCUUAACCGUGUGUAUCACAGUUUGAAAAAUCCUCUUAUCUUGACACUUGGUGUCUAAACAAACGAAUCAUCAAAACUAGCACUUAAAUGGAGCGAACUGAACUUCAAGCAUUUACCUCAUUGCCAAAUAUAUGAUAGGUCUACAAGUGUUUUUGCCAACGCUUCUUCUUUCUCUGCUAUUCAGCUAAACUCUUUCUUUGUACUUAUAGGGCUUUUGGUACCCAGCUCGUUCUGGAGUUUAACAACAGAGGUUACUUGUUGCUCUAUCAUAUCAAUUCUUAGACUGUAAUUGCCUUACACACUCUCAUUAGAAAUUCUCUUUGGACUGUAUUCUGGACCUAUGGAGUUAUAGGGUGUUUAGUUUUAACCCAGCGCAUAUUCCGAAUCAACCCGUAGCGAAUGUGUUACAAGCACAGCAAUUAUCUAGUGCGUCUAAGUCCCUUAAUUAUUCUUAAGGUUGAACCUCUGUUCAAAAACAUGCAAUAAAAAGAUCGAAACAAAAUAUACUAUUUAACUCACAACUUAAUUCACAAUUUGCUAUCAAUACAGAAUAGCCUCCUAUAGGUUAAAUCAUUGGCAACCUGAACAAGAUCUGCACUCGGUGGGCUUCUUGACCCUGGUCGAACGGCGUACUUCAGCGCCGCCAACAUUGCCACCAAUGUUUCUAUUCACUAUCUCUAGCGAGUUCCCUAAGAUUAUUGUCUCUCGUGGUCCCUCUGGUUCUACAAUUCUAUGGGAAUAUAUAGGAUAUAUUGGGUGGACCCAGUGAUCUUCAUCAUCUAUGACACCACCUAUUUGUUCUUGUACGUUUUCGUCCCCUGUAGGGUAAGUCUUUACCGGGGCGUGAUAGGUCUUCAUUCUGUCUAUGUGGAUCUUAUCUAAGCUCCCCGUCUCCAAAUCCUUCAAAAGAUAGACAGUGUCGCCUGUCCUUUGUAGUACCUCAUAUGGUCCUCUGUACCUUGGCUCAAAUUUAUGACGUCCCUUCGUCUCAUGCAUUCUCUUUACCAAAGCUAGAUCCCCUGUCUCAAAGGUCCUUAACCCUCUAGCUUCAAACUCAGCCCUGGCUUCUUGUUGCUCCUUCAGGUAAGUUUGCCUCACCACCUCUCUCGCCUUUUCAACCUCCUCCACCAAUUCCCGCUCAUAGAAGGCCGCCAUUUUGGUAAUUGAAUCUUCGCAUACAGGAUUAAGCUCCUCUUCCUGGAAAGGUUGUGGAAGCCUCAGCUCAUGCCCGAAGACCAGUUUCGCUGGAGUAAAUCCAGUACCAGAGUGUACAGUGGUCCUGAUAGCUAAGGCUACCAUUGGCAAGGUGGUAGCCCAAUUGUUCCCCGCUGUACACCUGCGUAGAGAUUCUAUUACCGUCCUAUUGAGCCUUUCUACGGCGCCAUUACUCUGAGGUCUCCAGGCUGUGGUGUUUACCGCUCCAACCCCCAUAGCCUUGCAAACUCCCUUAAAUACGCAACUCAUGAAUGCCGAACCUCGGUCAGAGAGUAUCGUUUUUGGUACUCCAAAGGUAGUGAUUAUCCUUUCCAACAAGGCCCUAACCACUGUAUUGGCACACUGGUCCUUAGUAGGAAUCAGAAUUGGGAACUUAGUAAAUAGAUCCACAAUGGUCAGAAUACUCGAAUAACCUCUUGGGGUUACUUCUAAUGGUCCUAUGAAGUCCAGAGCUAGGUGCUCAAAGGGUUUUUCGGGUCUAAAGUGAGGAGCAUUAGUGGCUUUGGUUACGCCUUGAUUCGAUAGCUGACAGCUCCCGCAUCUGCGUAUAUAUUUCCGGACUUGAGUCCUCAUACCAGGCCAGUAAUAGUCGCCCUUCAGCCUUCUCAUAACCUUUCUAACUCCGAAAUGACAUCCAGUAGGGAUGUCAUGAUGAUAACUGAUCACUGUUUCCCUAAAACCUGUAGGAACCACCUUCACCCAGGUACCCUUCUCAUUCUUUGUAACGAGGUAUUUGUCUUGUAGCCUGUACUCUCGGCUAUUAUAUCUUUCUAUACUUCCCGAUUUUUGUUUCAAUAACCUAUUUAUUACUGGGGCCCAUCCUUUCUCUUGAAGCAAGCCUUCCCACAUCUGAUUACUAUCUAAUAAGGGGGGCCGACGGUCUCUUACCACUGCGGCCACCACCCUCCUAUCUUGUGGCAGGUUUGGAUCAUCCUCGCACGGGAACCUACUAAGGAAGUCGGCUAUCGUGUUUUCCUUCCCCGGGACAUAAAUGAAUGUAACGUUGAAGUCUUGGAUGAUCUCUGCCCACCUAGACAGUCGGGCGUUCUUAUAAUCAGACCCCUUAUUAUAAGUAAUCGGUUUAUGGUCAGUGUGUACUUCUACCCUACUGCCCGCCAGGAGGUGUUUAAAGUGUUGUAGGGACAACACUACUGCAUAGGCCUCUUUUUCUAUUGUAGAAUAGCGGAUCUCAGGACCAGUCAGUCUCUUGCUAUAAUAGGCAAUUGGCCUUACUGUCCCAUUGACCUCCUGUUGGAGGCAAGCGCCUACUGCUACCCCACUGGCGUCAGUAUUCAGGAUGAAAGGUAUCCCAAUUGUUGGGUGGAUUAGUAGUGGCUCGCUGGUUAAUAUUCCCUUCACCGUCUCAAAGGCUGACUGCUCUAUCGUACCCCAAGCAAAUCUAUGUCCCUUCCUUAAUAGGUUGCUCAGUGGAGCCAGGAUCUCACCUGCGUUGGGAAUAAAGCGUCGGUAGUAGUUGACUGUACCCAAUAGACUUCUGACUGCCUUGAUGUUAUGAGGUCUUUUCAAAUCCCUGAGAGCGGCGACAUUAUCCCACAUGGGUCUGAUCCCAUUCUGGUCGAUUACAUGACCCAGGUACUCUACUGAGUCCCUGAAGAGAUAGCUCUUCCCGUAUUUGGCCUUCAAACCGAACCUACUCAGACGUUCGAGUACAGCGGCGAGGUCCGCUACAUGCUGCUCGUGAGAGUCGCUGUAGACAAUGACGUCAUCGAUGUACAGGCGAACGCAUUUGAACAACAAGUCACCUAGGACCAAGUUCAUGGCCCACUGGAAUACUUGUGCUGAGUUCUUAGCUCCUUGUGGCAAACGCGUGAAGCGGUAUCUCCCCCAGGGCAGAGAGAAGGUAAAAUAAUCUCUGUCACUCUCCGGGAUGUGAAUCUGGAAGAAUCCAGAAGUCAGAUCUAAUGUGCUGAAGACUUUUGCACCCGCAAAUGCGCGUAGAUUGUCUUUAACACGGGGUAUCGGGAACGGGAAGAAUUCAGUUGCCUCAUUGAUCAUACGUAGAUCCAUGGUGAUGCGAACACUACUAUCAGUUUUGGCAGCCGGGAAUAGAGGGGAAUUCCACAGAGAGGUACUCCCUUCUAUUAUCCCUACUUCUUCCAGUUCGUCUACUAACGUUUUCACCUUUGAGACUAACCUAUUCGGGAUCGGAUAUUGCCUCCUAUAUACUGGCUUGCUAGUCAGCAUUCUCAGUUUAGGGGCUGUGAUGGUGGAACCAUUACCCAUAUCCCUUAUGUCCCUACAAAAACAAUGGCUGAAAGCCUUGAAAAUAUCUUCGCCGGUGUGGAUCUCGUUUAAGGGUAUCCUGGGUGGCUGAGGAGACAAUUCUAUCGUCUGCAAUGAGGAAUGAAAGGCCGACUUGGUCGGACCUUCCUUCCUUUCAUAAUCGGACCUAAUACUACCGUCGUAGCUGAGGUGCAGCUUUAGGGCUCGGAAACCCGGUAGUCCGAGUAUGCCAUCAAGACCUAUUUCUCCCAUGUGGCAAUACUCAAAAGUCGUCCUUACCUCCCUGAUGGGCUUACCGUUUACCAUUGCCCCUACCUCUAAUACUUCACUCCCUAAUGACUUUAAAGAAUUCCCUGUUAUACCCUUAAGGUAAGUUGGCCUGUUUAACCCCUCAGUGCAUAAAUUUAAAUUAUCUAUAUUUACAAUAUUGGCCUCUGAGCCCGAGUCUAUAAUAAAUCUUAGAGUUCUCUCACUCAGAGACCUCCCUUUAUUUAGUAUAUGUACAUUUAUGGCAGGCAAACUGGCCGCAAACCCCCCUCCUGCCUUGAGGCAAGCCGGACCUAGUUUUUUCUCUGUGUCUGCUGGCAAUCCCUGAUGAGGUGUCCUGGUUCACCGCACCUGUAACAUUUAGGUGGUGGCCUCCUUACAUCCUGAUUCUUAUAUUCCACUCCAGGGUUCUCCUCCUUUUCACCAUUAGGAUGUCUCCUUUCUUGUCUGGGUGGAGGCGGGUUCUGCUGUUGCCUGGAUGGUUGUUGUGUAGGUCUCCUUUGCCAGUCCCUGAAGGGAGCCCCCCUCCUGUUACCCUCGGUGAUAUCUCCGUAAUCCCUUCUUUCUGCGGGGUGUGGGGGCCACCUUCCUCCUCCGUUAUUUGUUCUAUUGGUACUCCCUCUUUGUCUCCUAAGGGCUGCAUUCUCGAUUUCCAGUGCCUCCAUUUUCUUCUCCAGCUCGGCCAAUUUGUUGCCCAUGUCACCCAGCCUCUGGCCGUUCCUGUCGAUGCUGGAGCGUUGCGCCUCCCUGUAGUCCUCCUGUCUCUGUUCCAGCCACUGUAGUUUGGUAACUAGGGUCUCCCAGGGUUCGCCUUGGUAUAGAUGAGCCUUUUCCCACAGGCUGGGACAGAGCCCGUCGAUGAAAACCUCUGCGACCUCUGAGCUACCUAUCUUCAGGCCAUCCGACUCUGCUCCCGCUGCAAGGUCGCUCACUCGUGCGGCGAAGUCCCGUACUUUCUCCCCGGCUCCUUGUCUACAUGAGAAGAACUGGCUCCUCAUUUCCCUUGUAGAAACCCUCUUUCGGAACCGCCCUUCUAGACUCUCCUUCAGCUCUUCGUAUCCGAGGCGGAUUUGUUGGGACUGUAGGGCAAACUCCCUCGCAGCCCCCCGGAGGUGGUUGUCUAGGAGGAUUCUUUUCCUGGCGUCGUCCAGGGUCCUUAGGUCGUAGACAAGUUCAAAAUCUUUUAUGAAUUUCGUGAAGGGGACUAGACCCUUCCCUUCAAAUUUCUCCAGGUUGUACAGCAUGGAGGGCAGCUGGGCUUGGCUCGCUGCGGAAUUCUCUUUAUCAGCAGGCAUGGUUCUCAGUUGUCGGAUCUACAGGAACUAAAUGUUAGCCUUUCGCCCUGAUUGCAGCGUUAGUGUCAGGACCCAUAGAGGCGGGUGAAGUAAGGAAUACUAAACAGAAGGAAGGGGGGAAGCCUUUCUUAAUCAUGUUCUUAUACACUAUGGGAUUCACGUUUCAAAAGGAGACUGGUAUUCAAUAACAUAAGAACCAUACAUGUAUGUAUAUGCGGUGUGAACACAAACAUUGCGUCGUGAAAAUUGAAGAUCCUACAAAAGAAACCCGAAUAAUGUGAACGCAAGCAUCGCGUCGUGAAAAUUGAAGUUUCUACAAAAGAAACCCGAGUAGUGUGAACGCAAGCGUCGCGUCGUGAAAAUGAAGUUUCUACAGAAGAAACCCGAGUGGUGUGAACGCAAGCAUCGCGUCGUGAAAAUUGAGGAUUCUACAAAAGAAACCCGAAUGAUGUGAACGCCAACAUCGCGUUGUGAAAAUGAAGUUUCUACAGAAGAAACCCGAGUGGUGUGAACGCAAGCAUCGCGUCGUGAAAAAUGAGGAUUCUACAAAAGAAACCCGAAUGGUGUGAACGCAAGCAUCGCGUCGUGAAAUGAGGAUUCUACAAAAGAAACCUGGAUGACGUGAACGCAAACAUCGCGUCGUGGAAUUGAAGAUCCUACAAAGGAAACCUGAGUGGUGUGAACGCAAGCAUCGCGUCGUGAAAAUUGAAGUUUCUACAGAAGAAACCCGAGUGGUGUGAACGCAAGCAUCGCGUCGUGAAAUGAGGAUUCUACAAAAGAAACCCGAAUGAUGUGAACGCCAACAUCGCGUUGUGAAAAUGAAGAUUCUAUAAAAGAAACCUGGAUGAUGUGAACGCAAACAUCGCGUCGUGAAAAUUGAAGAUCCUACAAAGGAAACCCGAGUGGUGUGAACGCAAGCAUCGCGUUGUGAAAAUUGAAGGUUCUAUAAAAGAAACCUGGAUGGUGUGAGUGUAAACAUUGUGUUUCCACAGGCGAUCAUAUGGAAGGAACCUUCAAAAGCUUAAUACACCAAUAACUAUGACAAAGAUAUCCUCAACUCAAUGCAGGUAACCUAACUGACAACAGGGACGUUAAUACGACGAAACCCCCAGCUAACUAUCCAGGGACAAUCAACAUCAUCACAUUAGACUGUCUCGGAGGUUAUUGGUAACCAGAAAAAAAAAAAAAAACAGGUAAGUUCACCAUGAACAAGCCUACUGAACGCCUGGACGAAUAUGAGGAAUUUGUCAAGUUUAGUAAGAAAAAGGAGUCAAGUAAUGUUCAACAUGUGGUAGUGUGAACACAAGCAUCGCGUCGUGAAAAUGAGGAUUCUACAAAAGAAACCUGGAUGAUGUGAACGCAAACAUCGCGUCGUGGAAUUGAAGAUCCUACAAAGGAAACCCGAGUGGUGUGAACGCAAGCAUCGCGUCGUGAAAAUUGAAGUUUCUACAGAAGAAACCCGAGUGGUGUGAACGCAAGCAUCGCGUCGUGAAAAAUGAGGAUUCUACAAAAGAAACCCGAAUGAUGUGAACGCCAACAUCGCGUUGUGAAAAUGAAGUUUCUACAGAAGAGACCCGAGUGGUGUGAACGCAAGCAUCGCGUCGUGAAAAAUGAGGAUUCUACAAAAGAAACCCGAAUGAUGUGAACGCCAACAUCGCGUUGUGAAAAUGAAGUUUCUACAGAAGAGACCCGAGUGGUGUGAACGCAAGCAUUGCGUUGUGAAAAUUGAAGGUUCUAUAAAAGAAAUCCAUGUGAUGUGAACGCAAACAUCGCGUCUUCGCUAUCAUCACACUGUUGAGUGAAUAAAGAUUCUAUAAGAAAAUCCGAGUGGUAAAAAAAAAAAUAUGGUACUCCAAACGUAGAGAACCAUAUGUGGAUGUAUGAAAACUAUUCCAAUUUUCAACAGCCUAAAACAUAUUCUCAAAUUCAAGAUAUUCUACUCAUAAACGAGAUCCCGCGC